rnacentral:rRNA from 1 species
AACGAACGCUGGCGGCAGGCUUAACACAUGCAAGUCGAGCGCCCCGCAAGGGGAGCGGCAGGCGGGUGAGUAACGCGUGGGAAUCUACCCAACCCUACGGAAUAACGCAUGGAAACGUGUGCUAAUACCGUAUACGCCCUACGGGGGAAAGAUUUAUCGGGGAUGGAUGAGCCCGCGUUGGAUUAGCUAGUUGGUGGGGUAAAGGCCUACCAAGGCGACGAUCCAUAGCUGGUCUGAGAGGAUGAUCAGCCACAUUGGGACUGAGACACGGCCCAAACGCCUACGGGAGGCAGCAGUGGGGAAUAUUGGACAAUGGGCGCAAGCCUGAUCCAGCCAUGCCGCGUGAGUGAUGAAGGCCCUGGGGUUGUAAAGCUCUUUCACCGAUGAAGAUAAUGACGGUAGUCGGAGAAGAAGCCCCGGCUAACUUCGCGCCAGCCGCCGCAGUAAUAC